rnacentral:rRNA from 1 species
AAACGACUCUCGGCAAUGGAUAUCUCGGCUCUCGCAUCGAUGAAGAACGUAGCGAAAUGCGAUACUUGGUGUGAAUUGCAGAAUCCCGUGAACCAUCGAGUCUUUGAACGCAAGUUGCGCCCGAAGCCCUCGAAAGUCGGCCAAGGGCACGUCUGCCUGGGUGUCACGC